CCUACGGGAGGCUGCAGUGGGGAAUAUUGCACAAUGGGCGGAACCCUGACGCAGCGACGCCGCGUGGGUGAUGAAGUCCUUCGGUAUGUAAAGCCCUUUUAGCAGGGAAGAAACAGACGGUACCUGUAUAAGAAGCCCCGGCUAACUACGUUCCAGCAGCCGCGGUAAUACGGCGGGGGCAAGCGUUAUCCGGAUUUACUGGGCGUUAAGGGGGCGUAGGCGGCGUGGCAAGUCUGAUGUGAAAGGGCGGGGCUCAACCCCGGGACGGCAUUGGAAACUGGAUUGCGGGAGUGCGGGAGAGGCAAGGGGAAUUCGUGGUGUAGCGGUGAAAUGCGUAGAUAUCAGGAGGAACACCGGUGGCGAAGGCGGAUUGCUGGACUGUAACUGACGCUGAGGCUCGAAAGCGUGGGGAGCAAACAGGAUUAGAUACCCGAGUAGUC
rnacentral:rRNA from 1 species